rnacentral:tRNA from 1 species
GUUAAGGUGGCAGAGCCCGGAUAAUGCAAAAGACCUAAAUCCUUUAAAUAGAGGUUCAAAUCCUCUCCCUAACU